GUCACCUGCCAGACUUGUUAAAACUUUGAUUGCUGCUCUGUGCUACUUUCUGGAGUUUACAAUUCAAUAGGAAUCAGGUGGGGCUCAAGAAUUUGCAUUUCUAAUAAUUCCCAGAGGAUGCUGGUAUGCCUGGUUCACGGAUCACCGCUUUAGAACCACCGAUCUGGAACUAUAAGGAAAAGGUAAUACAGUUAUUCAACAAAUUUUCAUUCAAGAACUCUUAUACAAGACACUGAUCCAUAUGCUGGGAUGCAAAGAUGAACAAGCACAUACAAGCUACUGAGUAUGCUGCAUCUUGGAGCACCCAUAUUGCCAUCUGCUGCCCCACGACCCCUAAGUCAUAUGUGCGACUUCUGUCGACGUCUACAUUGUUACAGGCAAAAAUCACGAGGAGCAUAUGGUUUUCAUUCUACCAAGACUUUCAUUUCACGCUGUUACCAGAAGGGUUAGAAAUCCUGAUUGGAUGGGAAGGAGAUUAGCUUUUUCCCUAGUGGAAUAAUUUCAUUAUAACAGAGGGGUCACCUCCCUAAGCUAAAUGUGAAAAGAAUAAUAGAAAGAGUACAGAUCAUGGAAAAAAAAAAAAACUAGAAAGGCUUUGUAAUAAAUUUUGAUAUGACUUCAGAGAGUACAUCCUCACUUCAUGUAUUUGAAUAAACCCUUUAAAAUUUGGGUAACUAAAUUGUUCUAUUUCAAUUCCCACUUUUCUCAUUUACAUCACUUUUAUACAUCAAGCACCUUCCACUAUCUGGCUGAUGUAUAGAAUAAGAAGAAUUUUUCAGGGCGCUGACUCUUCUGGUCUAUCCAAGUUCACUGAAAGGACCUAUUUAACCCCUAAAACACCAAACACCAUUAAUACAGUGUAACCAAAGAGCUAAACUCUACCCUGACUAAAGAACUUUAAAAGAAAUAUGAAGUCAUCAGGUAUCUCAAUGACUUGUUUCUUAUUGACAUCAGAAACAUCCAUGUAUUUUAUAAAGAUGCACUAGAAAUAAACCAAUGCAUGAGUAUAAUUUGAGCUUUUUACAUAUCUCUAUACCU